rnacentral:rRNA from 1 species
GUUAUCGUUUAUUUGAUAGUACCUUACCACUUGGAUAACCGUGGUAAUUCUAGAGCUAAUACAUGCUAAAAACCCCGACUUCGGAAGGGGUGUGUUUAUUAGAUAAAAAACCAAUGCCCUUCGGGGCUCUUUGGUGAUUCAUGAUAACCUAACGGAUCGCAUGGCCUUGCGCCGGCGACGGUUCAUUCAAAUUUCUGCCCUAUCAACUUUCGAUGGUAAGGUAUUGGCUUACCAUGGUUUCAACGGGUAACGGGGAAUUAGGGUUCGAUUCCGGAGAGGGAGCCUGAGAAACGGCUACCACAUCCAAGGAAGGCAGCAGGCGCGCAAAUUACCCAAUCCCGACACGGGGAGGUAGUGACAAUAAAUACUGAUACAGGGCUCUUUUGGGUCUUGUAAUUGGAAUGAGUACAAUUUAAACCCCUUAACGAGGAACAAUUGGAGGGCAAGUCUGGUGCCAGCAGCCGCGGUAAUUCCAGCUCCAAUAGCGUAUAUUAAAGUUGUUGCAGUUAAAAAGCUCGUAGUUGAAACUUGGGUCUGGCUAGCGGGUCCGCCUCACCGCGUGCACUUGUCCGGCUGGACCUUUCCUUCUGGAGAACCUCAUGCCCUUCACUGGGUGUGUUGGGGAACCAGGACUUUUACUUUGAAAAAAUUAGAGUGUUCAAAGCAGGCCUUUGCUCGAAUACGUUAGCAUGGAAUAAUAGAAUAGGACGUGCGGUCCUAUUUUGUUGGUUUCUAGGAUCGCCGUAAUGAUUAAUAGGGAUAGUCGGGGGCAUCAGUAUUCAAUUGUCAGAGGUGAAAUUCUUGGAUUUAUUGAAGACUAACUACUGCGAAAGCAUUUGCCAAGGAUGUUUUCAUUAAUCAGUGAACGAAAGUUAGGGGAUCGAAGACGAUCAGAUACCGUCGUAGUCUUAACCGUAAACUAUGCCGACUAGGGAUCGGGCGA